GUAUUUUAGAGUUGAAAGGAUGCAGAAUCAACAUCGAGUCGAGCGGCAUUAAAGUAUCUCGUGGAGCUCUCAUUUUGUUAAAAGGUAAAAGAACCGAUAGUCUUUAUAUUUUGGAAGGUUCUACAGUGAUCGGUGAAAUCAGACGUCCCUCGUCUGUUACGGAAUCGAAGUCAACUCGUUUGGAGCGAAGGCAACUUGGUCAUAGGAGGGAAAAAGGUAUGACCAUUUUGUUGAAGAGAGGUUCUCUUUUGGAUGCAGGUUUUGAAAAGUUAGGGCACUGUGUUCGUGAAAAUCAGACCCGGGUUAAUUUUGAUUUGGCAGUGUACAAGUCGAAGGCUAGAAGUCUUCCAGUUUCUAAGCACAAAUUCGACUCAGUUAAUUCC
rnacentral:lncRNA from 1 species